CGCCAGCAGACGUUAUGACUGGCCGACGCUUGCAGGUCUGGAUCCGAAUUCUGCAAUUGGAUCCAGACUUUGAUUCUGGCUCAGGAUAAACGCUGGCGGCGCACAUAAGACAUGCAAGUCGAACGGAAGUCGUUGUAAUGAAAUAGAAACGGACAGAGAACUUGUUCGAAGAAAGUGGAAGUAGACUUACAACAAUGGCUUUAGUGGCGGACUGGUGAGUAACGCGUAAGGAACCUGCCUUCUAGAGGGGAAUAACAAUGAGAAAUCAUUGCUAAUACCGCAUAUGCCGAGAGAAUCACAUGGUACAAUCGGGAAAAGAGUAAUCUGCUAGAAGAUGGCCUUGCGUCUGAUUAGAUAGUUGGUGGGGUAACGGCCUACCAAGUCGACGAUCAGUAGCCGGACUGAGAGGUUGAACGGCCACAUUGGGACUGAGAUACGGCCCAGACUCCUACGGGAGGCAGCAGUCGGGAAUAUUGCGCAAUGGAGGAAACUCUGACGCAGUGACGCCGCGUAUAGGAAGAAGGUUUUCGGAUUGUAAACUAUUGUCGUUAGGGAAGAGAAAGGACAGUACCUAAGGAGGAAGCUCCGGCUAACUACGUGCCAGCAGCCGCGGUAAUACGUAGGGAGCGAGCGUUAUCCGGAAUUAUUGGGUGUAAAGGGUGCGUAGACGGGAAGAUAAGUUAGUUGUGAAAUCCCUCGGCUUAACUGAGGAACUGCAACUAAAACUGUUUUUCUUGAGUGCAGGAGAGGUAAGUGGAAUUCCUAGUGUAGCGGUGAAAUGCGUAGAUAUUAGGAGGAACACCAGUGGCGAAGGCGACUUACUGGACUGUAACUGACGUUGAGGCACGAAAGUGUGGGGAGCAAACAGGAUUAGAUACCCUGGUAGUCCACACCGUAAA
rnacentral:rRNA from 1 species